AUUGAACGCUGGCGGCGUGCUUAACACAUGCAAGUCGAUCGGUAACGCGGGGGCAACCCUGGCGACGAGAGGCGGACGGGUGAGGAACGCGUGGGAAUCUGCCUAUCAGCGGGGACAACACGGGGAAACUCGUGCUAAUACCGCAUACGCUCUACGGAGGAAAGCCGGGGACCGCAAGGCCUGGCACUGAUAGAUGAGCCCAAGUCGGAUUAGCUAGGUGGCGGGGUAACAGCCCACCAAGGCGACGAUCCGUAGCUGGUCUGAGAGGACGAUCAGCCACACUGGGACUGAGACACGGCCCAGACUCCUACGGGAGGCAGCAGUGGGGAAUAUUGGACAAUGGGGGAAACCCUGAUCCAGCGACGCCGCGUGGGUGAAGAAGGCCUGCGGGUUGUAAAGCCCUUUCGGUAGGGACGAAAGCUCUCGACCUAACACGUCGGGAGGUUGACUUAACCUACAAAAGAAGCACCGGCUAACUCUGUGCCAGCAGCCGCCGUAACAC
rnacentral:rRNA from 1 species